rfam:Candidatus Burkholderia pumila strain TZHbot3 BPMIctg361, whole genome shotgun sequence.
GUCGUCGUGAGGCGGGGUCUGAAGGAAACUGUGGAGCAAAGCCACGACCUGACGAACAGAAACCAGAUGUGAGGCUUACCCGGGCGGACGAGCGAGCCGAUGAUCGCGAAGUCCAUAGCCAUCUCACGAGAAAUUCUUCGAUCGCGUGAGCCACGAUAUGCUGAUGAGCGGUGGCAAAGCGUCUCAG